ACUGCCCCUAGAGGUGUUGCAGGUGUGGCUGCCGUAUCGUAUGUGCCUUAGUAUGUGGGAGAGAGGAGAAAGGCUAUUUCUGUGCUCAGUGCUCUGACUGUGAACAUCCGGAUGAUUAGCAGCCUAACACU